rnacentral:misc_RNA from 1 species
AAGUCGUAACAAGGUAACCGUAGGUGAACCUGCGGUUGGAUCAUUACUGAUUUCUCUUCCUUUUCCAUCUCCUGCCUCUUUCUUUCAAAGGGUGUAGUUUCAGAGGUGGUCUAGGGAGAAUCAACCCCUUGUGCAACAUGAUGUUUUUUUGGGUCUUUUCCCUUUCUCUUCUCACCACCUUCACUUCAUUGACUUGAGGGGGGGAGGGAGAGAAAGAGAGGGCCCAAUCUUAUAUAUAAACCCCCUUAAAAAUGUAGUCUUAUCAUAUGAAAAAAUCAUAAACAACUUUUGACAACGGAUCUCUUGGCUCUC